rnacentral:rRNA from 1 species
AAUAUUUUACAAUCGGGGCAACCCUGAUCCAGCCAUGCCGCGUGUGUGAAGAAGGACUUCGGAUUGUCCGUCACUUUAAGUUGUGAGGAAGGGCUUUAGGCUAAUACCCUAGAGUUUUGACGUUACCAACAGAAUAAGCACCGUCUAACUCUUCGCCAUCAGCCGCGGUAAUACAGAGGGUGCAAGCGUUAAUUGGAAUUACUGGGCUUAAAGCGCGCGUAGGUGGUUCAGUAAGAUGGGUGUGAAAUCCCCGGGCUUAACCUGGGAACUGCUUUCAUAACUGCUGAGCUAGAGUACGGUAGAGGGUAGUGGAAUUUCCUGUGUAGCGGUGAAAUGCGUAGAUAUAGGAAGGAACACCAGUGGCGAAGGCGACUACCUGGACUGAUACUGACACUGAGGUGCGAAAGCGUGGGGAGCAAACA